AACUGAUGCUAAUACCGCAUACGCCCUACGGGGGAAAGAUUUAUCGGCGAGAGAUUAGCCCGCGUCCGAUUAGGUAGUUGGUGAGGUAACGGCUCACCAAGCCUGCGAUCGGUAGCUGGUCUGAAAGGAUGAUCAGCCACACUGGGACUGAGACACGGCCCCCACACUCCUACGGAAGGCAGCAGUGGGGAAUAUUGGACAAUGGGCGCAAGCCUGAUCCAGCCAUGCCGCGUGAGUGAUGAAGGCCUUAGGGUUGUAAAGCUCUUUCGACGGGGACGAUGAUGACGGUACCCGUAGAAGAAGCCCCGGCUAACUUCGUGCCAGCAGCCGCGGUAAUACGAAGGGGGCUAGCGUUGUUCGGAAUUACUGGGCGUAAAGCGCACGCAGGCGGUUCGAUCAGUCAGAAGUGAAAGCCCCGGGCUUAACCUGGGAACUGCUUUUGAUACUGUCGAGCUUGAAUCACGGAGAGGGUAGUGGAAUUCCGAGUGUAGAGGUGAAAUUCAUAGAUAUUCGGAAGAACACCGCUGGCGAAAGCGACUACCUGGCCGUCGAUUGACGCUCAUGUGC
rnacentral:rRNA from 1 species